GUUGCGGACGAGACAGGUAGACGGAGUCUUACAUGGAUGGCAACGGAAAAAUGCCAUGCGUGUUCAUUAUUUCGGUUUGUCAGUGAGCAGCUAAUGGAAGAUUAAAUACUGUAAUCAAUCGUGGAAUGUUUAAGGUAAGAGUAUGAAGUAUAUACCAGAAGCAACGCCAGCUAUGCAUAUUACGCUCCAGAGAUGGCGUUCGGUUCCAAAUCGCCACUACGCUCUGGUAUAUGACACUUUUCACUCGCCACUCUGCUCUGGAUCCGGCCUUGCUAACGGAUUGGCGCUGUCUGUUGCUGUACUGGUGGUGAACAUAACUCCAUCUUGAGAGCUUAACAUACGGAGCUUAAACUCUUCUCAGCAACAUGUAACUCAUUUAUUUCUUCUAGUAUACUUCGUGGCAAGAGCAUGAAACUAUGAAACCGGCAUUCAAAGUUUACUACAUCAACAUUUAGUAAACUGGUGGUUUCGCUAGAUGGCAAGCCGCUGCAAACUCUAACUGAAAGACGGGUAUGACAAUUAUCUUGCGACUUGUGACAGUCAUACUGUAGGUAUCGUUUAAUGUCUAACCCGUUCAUAAGGAAUAAAAUAUACUACUACUAUGAACUAUGAAGUUCAUAAGGAUGGAUAGUUGGCCCAUCAUUCACACAAUUUUCUUGUUCAGGCAAGAAGUGUUUUGUUCUGUCAAAAGCUAGUGACACCUCGUAUUCACUGAGUGGUGGGACUAGUUGUAAAAAGAAGCACACUAGAUUUCUACGCAACCGCUAAAUGAUUCAAGUAAUGUGCAAUGGAACGGGUAAUUGGUUGCUCCGUAGAGAAAGCAGGAAAGCGGAUAAAAUGCAUUACAUCAAGUGAAUGUUGCUGUCAAAGUAUUUGAACUUUUUGGAUUUUUGUCUGACCUGAAAGUGCCCAAAAAAUAUGCCCUUAGUGACAUUGUAAGAGCAUAUAGUUCUUCAAUAGAAGACAGUGUUCACAAAUGCAUCAAAGUGCAGAAUAUCGGGGCAAGUUUGAAAAAGUUUGUGUACAAUCCUAAUUGAGGGAUGUGUGCUGCCUUCAUUUUAUGCCAAGUUCCACGAUAUCUGAUUGUCAGACUGGAAAGUAAAAUAAGUUGGUUGGUCUGGGUGGAUAGUUCAAUAUAAAAGUUGAAGCUCAGAA